rnacentral:sRNA from 1 species
UGUUGGAACGCGCUUCGGCGCACCUCCAGACAACCCUUUGUGAACUUAUACCUAUACUGUUGCCUCGGCGUCAGGCUGGCUCCCCUCGGGGGGUCCCUCACCAUCUCGGUGAGGAGCAGGCCCGCCGGCGGCCAAGUUAACUCUUGUUUUUACACUGAAACUCUGAGAAUAAAACAAAAAUGAAUCAAAACUUUCAACAACGGAUCUCUUGGUUCUGGCAUCGAUGAAGAACGCAGCGAAAUGCGAUAAGUAAUGUGAAUUGCAGAAUUCAGUGAAUCAUCGAAUCUUUGAACGCACAUUGCGCCCUCUGGUAUUCCGGAGGGCAUGCCUGUUCGAGCGUCAUUUCAACCCUCAAGCCUGGCUUGGUGAUGGGACACUGCCUUUGAGAAAAGGCAGGUCCUGAAAUUCAGUGGCGAGCUCGCCAGGACCCCGAGCGCAGUAGUUAAACCCUCGCUUUGGAAGGUCUUGGUGCGGCCCUGCCGUUAAACCCCCAACUUCUGAAAAUUUGACCUCGGAUCAGGUAGGAAUACCCGCUGAACUUAAGCAUAUCAAUA